ACUCAAGCUCGGCUUGUUAUUGGGACUUGUCGUUACAGACAGACCCGAAAGAUAAUGGCGGUGUCGAGAAUGACCCCAGGUGCAGCGAGCUCAUACAGCAUACACCGAGGCGGUUAUCUUGGCCCGGCCUUUGUUUUGUUAAAAAAACACUUCUUCUAAAGGUUGACCUCGGAUUAGGUAGGAAUACCCGCUGAACUUAA
rnacentral:misc_RNA from 1 species